rnacentral:rRNA from 1 species
CCUACGGAGUGCUGCAGUGAGGAAUAUUGGUCAAUGGGCGAGAGCCUGAACCAGCCAAGUCGCGUGAAGGAUGACGGAUCUAUGGUUUGUACACUUCUUUUAUAUGGGAAUAAAGUGAGGAACGUGUUCCUUUUUGUAUGUACCAUAUGAAUAAGCAUCGGCUAACUCCGUGCAAGCAGCCGCGGUAAUACGGAGGAUGCGAGCGUUAUCCGGAUUUAUUGUGUUUAAAGGGUGCGUAGGUGGUUAAUUAAGUCAGCGGUGAAAGUUUGUGGCUCAACCAUAAAAUUGCCGUUGAUACUGGUUGACUUGAGUAUAUUUGAGGUAGGCGGAAUGCGUGGUGUAGCGGUGAAAUGCAUAGAUAUCACGCAGAACUCCGAUUGCGAAGGCAGCUUACUAAACUAUAACUGACACUGAAGCACGAAAGCGUUGGGAUCAAACAGGAUUAGAUACCCCAGUAGUC